ACAGACUGCACCUACCAUAUCCAGGAUUUCACACCCCUCACCUUACAUACCUACGCACGUGCAGUCCACGUCAGAGGAUUUAUACGGUUCAUUGUUCAACGAUGUUCACUUGUAAAAGUAAAUAAUUAGAAAAUAUGAAAAUAAAAAUAAAGUAAUCAUAGUAUAAACAGCUUAUUCUCUACAAAAAUUGAUAUGAAUAACUUACCAUUAAAUUGAGAUCACGAAUUAAAAAAAAAAAAUGCAAGAAAGUAAAAUUAACUAAAUUGGCAAAAAUAGGAAUCACACAAAGUACAAAUAACACAUGGGUUUAGAAAAACAAGGGUAAAGGCAUUAAGGUUUAGUCGUCGUUAUUAGCAACAAUAUCUAACAUAUGAUUCGUCUGUGACAUUCAGAUAAAUCUAAACAUGCAAGACUCCUUAAGUUUUGUGAAACCUUUUGAAAAAUUCGAGAACCUUUAAGACGUGGCAUUCACCUUAAGUGAAAUUACAAUUUGUGAAACCUUUUGAAAAAUUCGAGAACCUUUAAGACGUGGCAUUCACAAUAAGCCUUACUCAAUUUCAAGACGGCACUCCAACAAAAAUUGCCCACGAUUACUUGUCUAAACAUCCUAAUGGUGGUCAAUCAUCAAGACAUACAAAUAGUUUAAACACAGUGAUUAAUAAUUCAAAGUAUGCAUGUAUAACAUCAUAAGUAAUUUAAUAAAGACUACAUAUUCUUGAUAAGGCUCAUGACUAUGCCCUAGCAAAAAAAAAUUAGUAAUACAUAUUGAUCAAAACAAAAUUUAGUAACACAUAAUCAUAAUUAAAAAGUAAAAUAUCAUUAGAGUAAAUGAUAGAAAUCACCUUAUAUCGAAGUACAAAAUCCAAAAAACUAUGUCGAGUUCUCCAAAGUAGUGCUUAGAGUGUUAGAAAUAUUGGUGAUGUGAAUGCUAUUUCUCUUACAACAAAUUACAUAAGAUAAAAUAAAUGAAUACAAGAUAAAAUACUUAUCUUUUAAGGAAAACUAAUAAAAAUAGCUUGAAAACUUUGACUUUUAAUCAAAAUGACAAAAAGGUGUUGUAAGUGAAUAGUAACAUGAGUAACUUUUUAAAGUAAAAAUAUCAUUUUCGUUAAAAGUGAACAGUACCGGGAGUGUUUCGUUAAAACUCCCUAUCUUUUAUAGGAUGGAAAUGGUUCUUUGUCGAUACUUGAUUAGAACAAGAUUUUAUGUUGAGGCGUGUAGGUUAACUGUCCUUAAGAGUAGAUUUUACCCUUCUAAGACAAUUACUCGAUGUAGCAGGUUAUAAUGUUCUACUCUCCAAAAUACAACAACCUAUAAUCAUUGCAAACGUACACUCACAAUACUUUGAUCGAACAACUCGAUUAUUUCUUUUGGUAUAAAAGUGAAUAAUGUAAAAGUACAAAUCAAGGGAGGAGAUAACUCAUCAUAGUACCCAAAUCAUAGUAACCGUAGAUAGGCACCAAAUCACAGUAACCGUAGAUAGGCACCAAAUCACAGUACAUUUAAGCAAGACAACAAAGAAUUAAUCAAGGCACUUACAUUAAAUAGAUAUGACACGGUAUAAGCCUUUCCAUUGCCUUUAAUAAGUAACAUAAUUUGUGGCACUUAACUAAAAAGCUUCAUAUAUAAUUUACCCAACGCCUAUUCCAAUAUUUUAUUAAAUAUUCUAUGGAUAAGUGCAAAUUCAAGAAAUACCAAAAUGUACCAAUAAUUCCAACAAUUUAGGGGUGGUUUUGGUACAUUACCGUACCAAAACCUCUGUACCAAUUAUCAUACCAAAUAUUUGGUACGGUAAAAUCUAUUACUAUUACCAUACCAAACUUUCGGUAUAGUUCGGUUGGUAUGGUAUGCCAAUGGUAAUUGCCACUUUGUUUUACGCCACUUAGUUUGCCCAAAAUCUAAUAUUUUUUAAUUAAUGUAGAAGUGUAAAAAAUAUAGAAAAAAUAUAUAAACACUCGUAAUGACAAAUUUUACAACUUUCGUGAAGAGCUUAACUUUGAAAUUCACCAUUAUAAUCAUAUAAAUCAUAGAUCAAAAUUUAACCGUUGAUUGUUAUUUACAUUUACGCUUCAUUUUUCUCAUCAAAUUUUUUUUUUUUUAAAUCAUGAUCAAUUAGAGGAUGCAGGAAGAUAAACGGUUUGAUCGUUGAUAUUAUGUUCAAAGUUUUACAGUUUGUGAAAAUAUUGCUUGAUGUUUAUAAAGUUUCUACAAACUAUAUGACAUCGACUCAUAUUUCAGUUAACCGUAAAUAUCGAAAUGUGAUAUCAAAUAUCUAAACCGUUCAUCUUCUUACAUCCGCCAGAUGAUCAUGUUUUCAAGAAAAAAAAUUUUAAAAUGAAAUUCAGUAAGAAGAAUAAAGCGUAAAUGACAAUCGACGGUUAAAUAUAAAUUUAAGAUUUAUGGAUUAUAGUGUUGGAUCUUGAAGCUGACAUCUUCAUGAAAGUUGUAAAACUUGUCACUAUGAGUGAUUGUAUAUUUUUUUCACAUUUUUUACACUUCUACAAUAAUUAUUAUUAAUUUUAUUAAUUUUUCCCUCAAAUAAUUAUAUGAAUAAAUACAUAAUAUAAUAUUAAUAAUAUUGGUAGGUAUGGUAUACCACAGGAAUUAGUUUUGGAUAUCAGUACUGUACCGAAACAAUAUGGUCCGGUACAAAUACCGUAUCUUUACCAAUUGAUACAAAUUUUUGGUAAUAAUUUGGUAUGGUAUGGUUGGUAAGGCGGUUGGUACGGUAAUUUGGUAAAAAUUUCUACCCAUAUCCAAUAUUUAAAGGAAAGAUCUCACCGAUAAUAUUACGCAUAGAACGGGGAACAAAUUGGACCCAAUCACCCUAUCAAUCAAUCUUAUAUUGCCAUGACCUGAAAAUUAAAAUGCCUAACCAAAUCACCAUCAAUCUCUUGUGCUGUGCAUCCAUGAGCCCAUCAUCGACAUAGAUAGUAGUUUGUGCGGAGACCAAACGAUGUAGAAGUAGCUUCCAAAUCAACUCUUAAGAUUGUUGGAAUAUUGGCGUUAUGAAUGUUAUUUUCUCAACAACAAAGAUAAAAUAAAAUACUUAUCUUUUAUAGUAAUUUACGCUGCCACAAUUAAUUAGAAGUAUGCAGAAUUCUAGUAGCAUAGUAUCACCUUCAAUAUUUUACCAAAAACUCAUUUCCUGUCCAAAAAUGGUGAAAAAAUACUAGUGUAUACAAUCCAUAAAAUUUGGAGUUAUGAAAGUCUAUAAAAAAAAUAAGGAUCUGUAUCAGGCUCAAAUUGUUGACAUGAAUGGUUUCUUAUCAAAAUUACAUCAGUUACAUAUAACACUUAAGUAGUAUUUAUUCUUUUCCAUGUCAUAAUGAAAAACGAACUAGGGAUUUCAAAAGGAUUUUACGACAUAGGUUUAGAAAGAAAACCAAGAACCAAUGAUUUGUUUCUUAUAAUCCAUUGCACAAAAUUACGAAGAGGAUUCGAAUAAACGAAAUUAAAUACCACUUGGGUAAAACCCCAAAGAACCCAAUUAUAGAAUUACCUUAAACUAAUGAUAUAAACACAUCAAUUCAAAUCAAAGUAUAAAAGGAAUUUAUUCAAUCACAAUACAAACCCUACAAACUCAUAACGAAAAUUCCAUAUUAAUCUAUAGAAGGAUUUGUAAUUGAAAGUUAAAAAACAAUCUAAAUUAUGCAAUUUAUACAAAAGCAUAAUUCAAAUUAAAUAUCACCCAAGUUACCUCCAGACGGCGAGUGAUUCACUGGAAUACUCAUAAAACAGCCAAAGUGCAGCCGGAAAUGCAUCGAAGUCUCAAAGCUUUGAUUCACCUAUUAUUUUGUCCAUGAAGGAUAGACCAAGAUAGCAGGUAUAGGAACGAAAAAGUGAGGAGAAAAACCCCUUUUGUCUUUCACGCCUAUCAUCUAAUUUCCUCCCUUAUUCAUUUAUUAGUUCAUAAUUAUCAAAUAGGAGUCCAAUUUUGUGAUAAACUGAUAAUAUUAAUCAAAACCAAAUCGAUAAUUAGACGAAUUAUUUUGAAAUAAACUAAAUGGGAUGUAGUCAAUUUGGAUUUCAGAGGAUUUUAAUGGACUUUUUUAAGUGACAGAUUUCAAAGGAUUUUAAUAUAUUCUACAAUUUCAUAUGGAUUUUGACAGAUUAUUAUGGAUUUCUAUUAUAGAUUUCUAUGGAUUUGUAAGAAUUUCUUUCAUGGAUUUCUUAAGAUUUCUUUUUUGACUCCUACAACAUAAAUUCAUUUCUUAGUACACAAUC
rnacentral:lncRNA from 1 species